UGGGGAAUAUUGCACAAUGGGCGAAAGCCUGAUGCAGCGACGCCGCGUGAGGGAUGACGGCCUUCGGGUUGUAAACCUCUUUCAGCAGGGAAGAAGCGAAAGUGACGGUACCUGCAGAAGAAGCGCCGGCUAACUACGUGCCAGCAGCCGCGGUAAUACGUAGGGCGCAAGCGUUGUCCGGAAUUAUUGGGCGUAAAGAGCUCGUAGGCGGUUAGUCGCGUCUGCUGUGAAAACUCGAGGCUCAACCUCGGGCUUGCAGUGGGUACGGGCUGACUAGAGUGCGGUAGGGGUGACUGGAAUUCCUGGUGUAGCGGUGGAAUGCGCAGAUAUCGGGAGGAACACCGAUGGCGAAGGCAGGUCACUGGGCCGCAACUGACGCUGAGGAGCGAAAGCAUGGGGAGCGAACAGGAUUAGAUACCCUGGUAGUCCAUGCCGUAAACGUUGGGCACUAGGUGUGGGGUCCAUUCCACGGAUUCCGUGCCGCAGCAAACGCAUUAAGUGCCCCGCCUGGGGAGUACGGCCGCAAGGCUAAAACUCAAAGGAAUUG
rnacentral:rRNA from 1 species